CCAGCCCUUCAAGAGAAAGUUCCUAAAAGUGCACAUUUUAAUUGAGGUAAAGAAGUUGAUAAAGAACCACAAUGACAAUAGAACACAUAAUGGAAGGAAAUGAUACUCUCAAAAUUCUAUUAAUUCUCAAUGUUCAAAUUAUGCCACCAAAACCAACAUUAAAAUACCCCAAUAUAAAUUAUUUCCAAAUUUCUUCCUAAAAUCUCUAGUAUAAGAAGGUUCAGCGUCACAUAGAUCAAAUAUAAGGCAUAGGAUUACUGCAAAUCAUUGAUG
rnacentral:misc_RNA from 1 species